AUAGUGGACAAUGGGGGCAACCCUGAUCCAGCCAUGCCGCGUGUGCGAAGAAGGUCUUCGGAUUGUAAAGCACUUUCAGUUGGGAGGAAGGGCUUUAGGUUAAUACCCUGAAGAUUUGCCGUUACCAACAGAACAAGCACCCGCUAACUCUGUGCCAGCAGCCGCGGUAAUACAGAGGGUGCAAGCGUUAAUCGGAAUUACUGGGCGUAAAGCGCGCGUAGGUGGUUCAGUAAGAUGGGUGUGAAAGCCCCGGGCUUAACCUGGGAAAUGCUUUCAUAACUGCUGAGCUAGAGUACGGUAGAGGGUAGUGGAAUUUCCUGUGUAGCGGUGAAAUGCGUAGAUAUAGGAAGGAACACCAGUGGCGAAGGCGACUACCUGGACUGAUACUGACACUGGGGUGCGAAAGCGUGGGGAGCAAACA
rnacentral:rRNA from 1 species